rnacentral:rRNA from 1 species
GACGAACGCUGGCGGCGUGCUUAACACAUGCAAGUCGAACGGAAAGGCCCUGCUUUUGUGGGGUGCUCGAGUGGCGAACGGGUGAGUAACACGUGAGUAACCUGCCCUUGACUUUGGGAUAACUUCAGGAAACUGGGGCUAAUACCGGAUAGGAGCUCCUGCUGCAUGGUGGGGGUUGGAAAGUUUCGGCGGUUGGGGAUGGACUCGCGGCUUAUCAGCUUGUUGGUGGGGUAGUGGCUUACCAAGGCUUUGACGGGUAGCCGGCCUGAGAGGGUGACCGGCCACAUUGGGACUGAGAUACGGCCCAGACUCCUACGGGAGGCAGCAGUGGGGAAUAUUGCACAAUGGGCGGAAGCCUGAUGCAGCAACGCCGCGUGCGGGAUGACGGCCUUCGGGUUGUAAACCGCUUUCGCCUGUGACGAAGCGUGAGUGACGGUAAUGGGCAAAGAAGCACCGGCUAACUACGUG